GCAAACUUGGUCAUUUAGAGGAAGUAAAAGUCGUAACAAGGUUUCCGUAGGGUGAGUUUGAUCCAGUCUUUCCGGUUUGAUCAGAAUGCUAACGAUUUACAGUGAACCUGCGGAAGGAUCAUUACCGAGUUCGGGGUUUCCCAAACUCCCACCCUUGUUUACCAAGUGUUGCUUCGGCGAGACGUUGGAAAGCAACCAUUGGCGAUUCCCUCCAGAUGACCCGAUGCGCGCUCGCCGGACUCCAAAUACUCUGAGAUUGUGUAUCGUCAGAUGAAACAAGCAAUUGAAUAAAAACUUUCAACAACGGAUCUCUUGGUUUUGGCAUCGAUGAAGAACGCAGC
rnacentral:misc_RNA from 1 species